rnacentral:sRNA from 1 species
UUUUUUCAUUAUUUUAU